CGGCAGGCCUAAUACAUGCAAGUCGAGGGGUAGAGAGAGCUUGCUUUCUUGAGACCGGCGCACGGGUGCGUAACGCGUAUGCAACCUACCUUUAUCUGGGGGAUAGCCCGGAGAAAUCCGGAUUAAUACCGCAUAAAAUCACAGAAUAGCAUUAUUUAAUGAUCAAACAUUUAUGGGAUGAAGAUGGGCAUGCGUGUCAUUAGCUAGUUGGCGGGGUAACGGCCCACCAAGGCGACGAUGACUAGGGGAUCUGAGAGGAUGGCCCCCCACACUGGUACUGAGACACGGACCAGACUCCUACGGGAGGCAGCAGUAAGGAAUAUUGGUCAAUGGAGGCAACUCUGAACCAGCCAUGCCGCGUGCAGGAAGACUGCCCUAUGGGUUGUAAACUGCUUUUAUCCGGGAAUAAACCUUUCUACGUGUAGGAAGCUGAAUGUACCGGAAGAAUAAGGAUCGGCUAACUCCGUGCCAGCAGCCGCGGUAAUACGGAGGAUCCAAGCGUUAUCCGGAUUUAUUGGGUUUAAAGGGUGCGUAGGCGGCCUGUUAAGUCAGGGGUGAAAGACGGUAGCUCAACUAUCGCAGUGCCCUUGAUACUGAUGGGCUUGAAUGGACUAGAGGUAGGCGGAAUGAGACAAGUAGCGGUGAAAUGCAUAGAUAUGUCUCAGAACACCGAUUGCGAAGGCAGCUUACUAUGGUCUUAUUGACGCUGAGGCACGAAAGCGUGGGGAUCAAACAGGAUUAGAUACCCUGGUAGUCCACGCCCUAAACGAUGAACACUCGCUGUUGGCGAUACACAGUCAGCGGCUAAGCGAAAGCGUUAAGUGUUCCACCUGGGGAGUACGCCCGCAAGGGUGAAACUCAAAGGAAUUGACGGGGGCCCGCACAAGCGGAGGAGCAUGUGGUUUAAUUCGAUGAUACGCGAGGAACCUUACCCGGGCUUGAAAGUUAGUGAAUGAUUUAGAGAUAGAUCAGUGAGCAAUCACACGAAACUAGGUGCUGCAUGGCUGUCGUCAGCCCGUGCCGUGAGGUGUUGGGUUAAGUCCCGCAACGAGCGCAACCCCUAUGUUUAGUUGCCAGCAUGUAAUGAUGGGGACUCUAAACAGACUGCCUGUGCAAACAGAGAGGAAGGAGGGGACGACGUCAAGUCAUCAUGGCCCUUACGUCCGGGGCUACACACGUGCUACAAUGGAUGGUACAGAGGGCAGCUAGCUGGCAACAGUAUGCGAAUCUCACAAAGCCAUUCACAGUUCGGAUUGGGGUCUGCAACUCGACCCCAUGAAGUUGGAUUCGCUAGUAAUCGCGUAUCAGCAAUGACGCGGUGAAUACGUUCCCGGGCCUUGUACACACCGCCCGUCAAGCCAUGGAAGUUGGGGGUACCUAAAGUAUGUAACCGCAAGGAGCGUCCUAGGGUAAAACCGAUAACU
rnacentral:rRNA from 1 species